rnacentral:rRNA from 1 species
GGUGCCAGCAGCCGCGGUAACACCGGCAGCUCUAGUGGUAGCUGUUUUAUUGGGCCUAAAGCGUUCGUAGCCGGUUUAAUAAGUCUCUGGUGAAAUCCUAUAGCUUAACUGUGGGAAUUGCUGGAGAUACUAUUAGACUUGAGAUCGGGAGAGGUCAGAGGUACUCCUGGGGUAGGGGUGAAAUCCUGUAAUCCUAGGAGGACCACCUGUGGCGAAGGCGUCUGACUAGAACGAAUCUGACGGUGAGGAACGAAAGCUAGGGGCGCGAACCGGAUUAGAUACCCGGGUAGUCCUAGCCGUAAACUAUGCGGACUUGGUGUGAGGGUGGCUUUGAGCCGUCCUGGUGCCGAAGGGAAGCUGUUAAGUCCGCCGCCUGGGAAGUACGGUCGCAAGACUGGAACUUAAAGGAAUUGGCGGGGGAGCACCACAACGCGUGGAGCCUGCGGUUUAAUUGGAUUCAACGCCGGAGAUCUCACCAGCGGCGACAGCAGUAUGAUGACCAGGUUGAUGACUUUGUUUGACAAGCUGAGAAGAGGUGCAUGG